rnacentral:rRNA from 1 species
GUGGAUUUGUUGAGGAGUUUGUAAAAACUUUGAGGUUAAGCGUGCUUGAGUGAGAGUAGUACUAGGAUGGGGACCUCCUGGGAAGUCUCACCAAAUCCAUU